GUUAUAAUAAAAAUGUAACCAUUGAAACCUCUUCCAUAUAUAUUUAUGUAAAUAUAGAGAUAUAAUAGGCACGGGGCUCCAUACAUCUUUUUCUAUUUCCUAUACAAAUAUUAAUUACUUUUAUUAAUAUUUAAUGUUUAUUUUUGUAAGGAUUAAUUUUUAAAUAAAUUAAUAAGAGAUAAAUAUAUCACACAAAAUGUUUUAGACAAACCCUAGCCGCCCAAUAAUCUUUUUUUGCUGCUUUCUCUUUCUCUCACCUCCUUCUGUAUGGUAGGUGAUGCGGCGGCGAGUAAAACUCUUGGAGGUGUUAGUUCUCGGCAAGCAACAAGGCAACACAAUGGUCGGCCAGCGGUGCUCCUUUCCAACGAGGCAACGUCGUUCGACUGAGUUUCAAAGAGAUGGGAGCUUCCCCAAUAUGAAAAUUUUUCAAAGGGCUAAUGCAAAGAUGGAACUACUGCAAAGAUGCAAUAUAGUUUUUUUUUUUUUAUUUGAUUUGAAUGUAUAUGAAGAUGUGAUGAUGAUUUUAAGUUUGAGAAGUAAUUGUCUUAGAAUAGUUAAUAUGUAAUGUAUAAUUGUUUUUAAUGAAAUUUGUUAGAAUAAAUUUAUUAUAAGUUUGUA